rnacentral:lncRNA from 1 species
AAAUUCGGGGUUCUUGCAUGCCAGGAUUAAAGGCAUGUGCUGCCACCCUGCUCUCUGUGCUUUUUAAAUGAAUGUUUUGUUGAUCGACAUGUCUGUGGGGACUCCUAGUAAAAUACCUGUGUUUCUCUUCUUUCUAGAAGGGGUAGAAGAGCCAUCCAAAAAACGAUCCAUAGAAGGAAAAAACAAUUCUUCAGUUGAGCGAGAUCAUGGGAAAAAAUCUGCCAAAACAGAUCGUUCAGCUCAGCAAGAAAACAGUUCAGGAUCCAAGGGGUCGUCCACCAAAUCAGAGAGUAGUGGGACCUCAGCUCGGAGCAACUCUGGUGUCUCCCAUCAGAAUAGUUCCACAAGUGAAGGCGAUAGAUCUGUUUGCAGCCAAAGCAGCAGCAAUUCCUCUCAGGUAACAUCAGCAGGGUCUGGAAAAGCUUCUGAGCCAGAAGCUCCAGAUAAACAUGGUUCAGCAUCCUUUGUUUCUUCACUGUUAAAAUCCAGUCUGAAUAGUCAUGUGACGAAAUCCACUGAUUCCAGACAGCAUAGUGGAUCACCUAGAAAGAAUGCUUUGGAAGGUUCUUCAGUUUCAGUUUCUCAGAGCAGCUCAGAGAUUGAGGUGCCCUUGUUGGGUUCCUCCGGAAGCUCAGAAGUAGAGUUGCCAUUACUGUCUUGUAAGUCUAGUUCAGAGACAGCUUCGAGUGGGUUAACAACCAAAGCUAGUUCAGAGGCAAACAUUUCAUCAUCAGUUUCUAAAAACAGUUCCUCAUCA